rnacentral:rRNA from 1 species
AAGAUUUUUCGGUCAGGGAUGAGCUCGCGGNCCUAUCAGCUUGUUGGUGAGGUAAUGGCUCACCAAGGCGUCGACGGGUAGCCGGCNUGAGAGNGUGACCGGCCACACUGGGACUGAGACACGGCCCAGACUCCUACGGGAGGCAGCAGUGGGGAAUAUUGCACAAUGGGCGCAAGCCUGAUGCAGCAACGCCGCGUGAGGGAUGACGGCCUUCGGGUUGUAAACCUCUUUUAGCAGGGAAGAAGCGAAAGUGACGGUACCUGCAGAAAAAGCGCCGGCUAACUACGUGCCAGCAGCCGCGGUAAUACGUAGGGCGCAAGCGUUAUCCGGAAUUAUUGGGCGUAAAGAGCUCGUAGGCGGUUUGUCGCGUCUGCUGUGAAAUCCCGAGGCUCAACCUCGGGUCUGCAGUGGGUACGGGCAGACUAGAGUGCGGUAGGGGAGAUUGGAAUUCCUGGUGUAGCGGUGGAAUGCGCAGAUAUCAGGAGGAACACCGAUGGCGAAGGCAGAUCUCUGGGCCGUAACUGACGCUGAGGAGCGAAAGGGUGGGGAGCAAACAGGCUUAGAUACCCUGGUAGUCCACCCCGUAAACGUUGGGAACUAGUUGUGGGGU